UUUCUCGGCAGCGCCAUAGAGCGCGAGCAGACGGUGCUGCAUGGCGCACAGCGGAGGCCGCGGGCGGCCGAACCCGGCGUGUCUUUGGGCUCUUCCAGGUGCAACAAAACCUGUCUCAUUUGAAGGUGCUUGAACAAAUAUUUUCUAAACACUUGUCAUGGAGAGUGAUUGAAACAAGCUGCCAAGACUACAUUUGCCAAUAACAAGCAUGUAGGUGGCUGUAGUGGAUGUCCAACUUUGGGAGCUGUGAUGUCUAAAAACCCUUUAUUGUUUUGGCUUACAUAUUGGAAGGUAAAAUGAAGACCAUGAACAAAGUCAAGAAGCCAUAAACAGAAGCAAAUUGUGAAAAUACCUAAUUUAAUAUUAAUAAGUUAUAUAUAAAUAAACAGUUAUUCUU
rnacentral:lncRNA from 1 species